CAGCGCCCCCCGUCCCCUCGACUUGCUUCUCCCGCAUCCAUAGGAACAGCCGUCGGCGCCGCCAGCCCUCACCACUACUUAUGGAGCAGCCCUUCAACAGCCAACGCCACCACUGGACAGUGGCAGCCCAACGCCCCAGCUCCACAUAUCCCCUCGACCCCUCCUUCUCUGCUUCUCCACGCAUGCACGGGAACGACGGCGGGCCGGCGGCGGCGGGCCGGCGCAAGGUUUUGAGCUGCGAUGCAAAGCGGCGCGACGUGCAAUAGCGCUGCUGCGCGCAGGGCCAGGAGCAUGACAGCACGGGUGUCCUAGGAGGCAGCCGCAGACCACAACGAGGAGCCUGACCGUGCUGAGGAGGUGACGGCCAGACCAAACAGUCGAUGCUCAGGACCAAUAGCUUCUCAAGGCCCUGUUGUGGUUAGCCCUACAAAUUUUAACUCAGCUGGUAGCCCAACAUCUAACGCUCAAGCUACUGGUGUUGUGGGAGCAUCGCAAGGUCAGGCUAGCAAUAAAAGAAAGCUCACGUCAAUUGUAUGGGAAGGUAAUUUUGAGAAAAAAUUAAUUGAUGGAGAAUGGAAGGCUGAGUGCAUGUAUUGUCAUAAACUUCUUACUGCAAAAGGAACCAGUGGCACUUCACAUUUGAAGAGUCACAUGAGCUCUUGUGGUGCUAGGCAUGCACCAAUAGGGCCAAAGCAACAAAAAUUAAGGCUCACAAAGGUUGAUAAUGGAAAAGCCAAUUUGGAGAAUACUAUUUUUGAUCAAGAUGUUGCCAGGAAAGAGCUUGCACUAAUGAUUUGUGUUCAUGAGUACCCUCUGUCUAUGGUUGAUCAUUCGGGUUUUAGGAAAUUUUGUUCUACAUUAUAACCAAUGUUCAGAAUGGUAUCGAGGAAUACUAUUAGAAAUGAUAUUCUGGAUAUGUAUGCAACCGAGAAGGAUAAUAUGGUGAAAUAUUUUGCUAACUUCAAAAAUCGAGUUGCCAUCACUACAGACAUGUGGACUGCAAAACAUCAGAAGAGAGGUUACAUGGUAGUCACCGCACACUUCAUUGAUGAAUUUUGGCAACUAAAUAGUAUUAUCUUGAGUCAUAUGUCAAGCACUGCGCGAGUCCCUUGUUGAGUGGCAUCUCGAGAGGAAGAUAUCGACGGUGACUCUGGAUAAUUGCACACCAAAUGAUAAAGCUAUGGAACAUUUGCCAGACAUGUUGGAUUCUGAUUCUCUUAUAUUGGAGGAUAAAUAUUUGCGUAUGCGUUGCGCUGCACACAUACUUAAUUUGAUUGUGAAAGAUGGUAUGGAUGUCAUGGAGGAGGGUAUAGAGCGGGUUCGUGAUAGUGUUGGAUUUUGGUCUGUUACUCCAAAGAGGCAUGAGAAAUUUGGAAAAAUGGCACGAACUCUAAACAUUGAAUACAAGACAAGGUUGGCUCUUGAUUGUAAAACAAGAUGGAAUUCGACCUACACAAUGCUAAACAUUGCAUUAGAAUACAUAGAGGUUUUUGAAAAACUAAAGGGUUGUGAGAAAUUAUUUAGUUGCUGUCCAACCAAAGAUGAUUGGAAGGUUGCUAAGGAACUUUGUGAUAGGCUAAAAAAUUUGUAUGAUGUCACAGAGGCAUUUUCUGGCACUAAAUAUGUCACUGCAAAUCUAUUCUUUCCUAAAAUAUGUGGCAUUCAGUUGGCAAUACAGAAAUGGGCUACUAGUACUAAUGAGAUUGUGCAAAAGAUGUCUGAGGGAAUGAAACUGAAGUUUGACAAAUAUUGGAAAGAUGUACAUGGUCUGAUGUCUGUUGCGACUGUUCUUGACCCAAGGUAUAAGCUUCAUAUGCUGCAAGCUCUUUUUGGUUCUCUUUAUGGAAUGGAAUAUGCAGAUGUGAAAGUUGCUGAAAUAAGGAACUUAAUGGCUGAUUUGUUGGAUGUAUAUCGAGAAGAUGAUGAGGCCACGACUACAUCAAAGGUUGUUAGCAUGGCUGAUGCACAAGUUGCUGGAAUAGAUGAUCCUAACAGUGAUUCUGAGCUAGAGGGAGACCUAAAUCAAUGUAGCUCCCUAGUGGAGGAGUCAGAGAAUAUGCCAUAUCUUAUUCACCC